AACGAACGCUGGCGGCAUGCCUAACACAUGCAAGUCGAACGAGACCUUCGGGUCUAGUGGCGCACGGGUGCGUAACGCGUGGGAACCUGCCCUUAGGUUCGGAAUAACUCCCCGAAAGGGGUGCUAAGACCGGAUAAUGUCUUCGGACCAAAGAUUUAUCGCCUUUGGAUGGGCCCGCGUUGGAUUAGCUAGUUGGUAGGGUAAAAGCCUACCAAGGCGACGAUCCAUAGCUGGUCUGAGAGGAUGAUCAGCCACACUGGCGCUGAGACACGGCCCAGACUCCUACGGGACGCAGGAGUGGGGAAUAUUGGACGAGGGGCGAAAGCCUGAUCCAGCAAUGCCGCGGAAGUGAUGAAGGCCUUAGGGUUGUAAAGCUCUUUUACCCGGGAUGAUAAUGACAGUACCGGGAGAAUAAGCUCCGGCUAACUCCGUG
rnacentral:rRNA from 1 species